GGGUUGUGAGGUUAAGCGACUAAGCGUACACGGUGGAUGCCCUGGCAGUCAGAGGCGAUGAAGGACGUGCUAAUCUGCGAUAAGCGUCGGUAAGGUGAUAUGAACCGUUAUAACCGGCGAUUUCCGAAUGGGGAAACCCAGUGUGUUUCGACACACUAUCAUUAACUGAAUCCAUAGGUUAAUGAGGCGAACCGGGGGAACUGAAACAUCUAAGUACCCCGAGGAAAAGAAAUCAACCGAGAUUCCCCCAGUAGCGGCGAGCGAACGGGGAGCAGCCCAGAGCCUGAAUCAGUGUGUGUGUUAGUGGAAGCGUCUGGAAAGGCGCGCGAUACAGGGUGACAGCCCCGUACACAAAAAUGCACAUACUGUGAGCUCGAUGAGUAGGGCGGGACACGUGGUAUCCUGUCUGAAUAUGGGGGGACCAUCCUCCAAGGCUAAAUACUCCUGACUGACCGAUAGUGAACCAGUACCGUGAGGGAAAGGCGAAAAGAACCCCGGCGAGGGGAGUGAAAAAGAACCUGAAACCGUGUACGUACAAGCAGUGGGAGCCUCUUUAUGGGGUGACUGCGUACCUUUUGUAUAAUGGGUCAGCGACUUAUAUUCUGUAGCAAGGUUAACCGAAUAGGGGAGCCGAAGGGAAACCGAGUCUUAACUGGGCGUUAAGUUGCAGGGUAUAGACCCGAAACCCGGUGAUCUAGCCAUGGGCAGGUUGAAGGUUGGGUAACACUAACUGGAGGACCGAACCGACUAAUGUUGAAAAAUUAGCGGAUGACUUGUGGCUGGGGGUGAAAGGCCAAUCAAACCGGGAGAUAGCUGGUUCUCCCCGAAAGCUAUUUAGGUAGCGCCUCGUGAACUCAUCUCCGGGGGUAGAGCACUGUUUCGGCAAGGGGGUCAUCCCGACUUACCAACCCGAUGCAAACUGCGAAUACCGGAGAAUGUUAUCACGGGAGACACACGGCGGGUGCUAACGUCCGUCGUGAAGAGGGAAACAACCCAGACCGCCAGCUAAGGUCCCAAAGUCAUGGUUAAGUGGGAAACGAUGUGGGAAGGCCCAGACAGCCAGGAUGUUGGCUUAGAAGCAGCCAUCAUUUAAAGAAAGCGUAAUAGCUCACUGGUCGAGUCGGCCUGCGCGGAAGAUGUAACGGGGCUAAACCAUGCACCGAAGCUGCGGCAGCGACGCUUAUGCGUUGUUGGGUAGGGGAGCGUUCUGUAAGCCUGUGAAGGUGUGCUGUGAGGCAUGCUGGAGGUAUCAGAAGUGCGAAUGCUGACAUAAGUAACGAUAAAGCGGGUGAAAAGCCCGCUCGCCGGAAGACCAAGGGUUCCUGUCCAACGUUAAUCGGGGCAGGGUGAGUCGACCCCUAAGGCGAGGCCGAAAGGCGUAGUCGAUGGGAAACAGGUUAAUAUUCCUGUACUUGGUGUUACUGCGAAGGGGGGACGGAGAAGGCUAUGUUGGCCGGGCGACGGUUGUCCCGGUUUAAGCGUGUAGGCUGGUUUUCCAGGCAAAUCCGGAAAAUCAAGGCUGAGGCGUGAUGACGAGGCACUACGGUGCUGAAGCAACAAAUGCCCUGCUUCCAGGAAAAGCCUCUAAGCAUCAGGUAACAUCAAAUCGUACCCCAAACCGACACAGGUGGUCAGGUAGAGAAUACCAAGGCGCUUGAGAGAACUCGGGUGAAGGAACUAGGCAAAAUGGUGCCGUAACUUCGGGAGAAGGCACGCUGAUAGGUAGGUGAAGCGACUUGCUCGUGGAGCUGAAAUCAGUCGAAGAUACCAGCUGGCUGCAACUGUUUAUUAAAAACACAGCACUGUGCAAACACGAAAGUGGACGUAUACGGUGUGACGCCUGCCCGGUGCCGGAAGGUUAAUUGAUGGGGUCAGCCGCAAGGCGAAGCUCUUGAUCGAAGCCCCGGUAAACGGCGGCCGUAACUAUAACGGUCCUAAGGUAGCGAAAUUCCUUGUCGGGUAAGUUCCGACCUGCACGAAUGGCGUAAUGAUGGCCAGGCUGUCUCCACCCGAGACUCAGUGAAAUUGAACUCGCUGUGAAGAUGCAGUGUACCCGCGGCAAGACGGAAAGACCCCGUGAACCUUUACUAUAGCUUGACACUGAACAUUGAGCCUUGAUGUGUAGGAUAGGUGGGAGGCUUUGAAGCGUGGACGCCAGUCUGCGUGGAGCCGACCUUGAAAUACCACCCUUUAAUGUUUGAUGUUCUAACGUGGACCCGUGAUCCGGGUUGCGGACAGUGUCUGGUGGGUAGUUUGACUGGGGCGGUCUCCUCCUAAAGAGUAACGGAGGAGCACGAAGGUUGGCUAAUCCUGGUCGGACAUCAGGAGGUUAGUGCAAUGGCAUAAGCCAGCUUGACUGCGAGCGUGACGGCGCGAGCAGGUGCGAAAGCAGGUCAUAGUGAUCCGGUGGUUCUGAAUGGAAGGGCCAUCGCUCAACGGAUAAAAGGUACUCCGGGGAUAACAGGCUGAUACCGCCCAAGAGUUCAUAUCGACGGCGGUGUUUGGCACCUCGAUGUCGGCUCAUCACAUCCUGGGGCUGAAGUAGGUCCCAAGGGUAUGGCUGUUCGCCAUUUAAAGUGGUACGCGAGCUGGGUUUAGAACGUCGUGAGACAGUUCGGUCCCUAUCUGCCGUGGGCGCUGGAGAACUGAGGGGGGCUGCUCCUAGUACGAGAGGACCGGAGUGGACGCAUCACUGGUGUUCGGGUUGUCAUGCCAAUGGCACUGCCCGGUAGCUAAAUGCGGAAGAGAUAAGUGCUGAAAGCAUCUAAGCACGAAACUUGCCCCGAGAUGAGUUCUCCCUGACUCCUUGAGAGUCCUGAAGGAACGUUGAAGACGACGACGUUGAUAGGCCGGGUGUGUAAGCGCAGCGAUGCGUUGAGCUAACCGGUACUAAUGAACCGUGAGGCUUAACCUUACAACGCCGAAG
rnacentral:rRNA from 1 species